rnacentral:misc_RNA from 1 species
GAAAAACUUACCUUUUAUUAUGAACAUGAGACAAAAUAAAUAUAUAAAUUUUAUUAAUUUCAUAUAUAAAUCUCACUAUUUUAAAUCCAUAAAAGCUUCCCCGGUCAAUCACUUUAAAGCCCUAAAUCAGCGGUGGAAAAUAAUGGACAUUGAGGACAAAAUGGCCAUGUGUCUUGCAGGUUUCGCCCAAUUCAGAAAAUUAGACCUGUUCAUGGACCAAGUCCAUGACAGCCCAAUUUGAAAAUGGCACAGCUUGAACCCAAUUCCCAUUGACAUAAACAGAUUACAAAACCCACCAGAAUCAGGGACGUGGGCUCUUAGGUCGCCAUAUCCAGAAUUUCUUCUUUGCAGGGGUCCAUCACAUUCACUGCAGAAAAUUUACAAGAGGAAGUUUUUCUGUAAUAUAAAAUAGUCAAUGAUUAAAUUAUUAUUAUUUUUAUUUAAGACUAUAACCUUGAACAUGAAGCUAUAGUUUAAUUAAUAAAAUUAGAAAGAAAACGAUGAGAAAGCAUGAAUUUGCAAAAUUUAUUAUGAUUAUUAUUAUUAUAAGAGAAAUUUUAAUAUUAUUGAGUAGGAAAUGUGGAAGUAAUUAAAGUAAGAAAUAGAAAAACAAGUGGAGCAAAUAGCUCCAGGCAGUAUGUGGUUGAGAUGAUAAUAGCCAAUGUUUGACACACAGUGACUGAGUACAGCUAAAGAUGGUAAAGGGACCGAAAGAGAAUGGCAAUUGGAAUAGCUUUCCAAGUUAAAAGCCAAAAAUAAAAAGCAAUAUUUUCACUAUCACAAAGAAAACUAGCUAGCUAGCUAUCCAGCCAAGGGAUUGGCUAAGCAGUGGCCUCACCUCUCACUACCUAGUUUCUGCACAAGUCUGAAAAUGCUGUGCUCUUGGUUAGGCAAUUCAAGAACUAGCCAUUGAUGGGUUGCAAAUUGUUUAAAUCAUAUGACAUCUUAUUCCAAAAAGUUUGGGAGAUCGUCCUCCAAGGAUUGAUGACACAAGACAUAAUAUUUUCUCUUAAUAAAUCUUUGAACUUGCCUGAUAAGUAUACGUACUCUUUCCAAGUUAGGCUUUGUGAUUUAGCUUUUUCUGGAACUUUUUCUUGUCAAAGGGGAACUGCUAGUAGAUGCAUGAUGACUUCCAUGGUUCAAACUAGAGAGGGGAUAGUUUGUUUUCUGGAAGGAACAAGCUAGAGAAUGUUGGAAAGUUUUUCAUCUAAAA